rnacentral:rRNA from 1 species
AGGACGAACGCUGGCGGCGUGCUUAACACAUGCAAGUCGAACGGGGUGCCAGUGGUAGCAAUACCAUUGUCAUCUAGUGGCGAACGGGUGCGUAACACGUGAGCAACCUACCCCACGAGUCAGGAGUAACACCGGGAAACCGGGUAGCUAAUACCAGAUACCUUCACCACCUCGCAUGGGGAGGGUGAGGAAAGAUUUAUUCGCUCUAGGACGGGC